rnacentral:rRNA from 1 species
CGUAGGAGGCAAGCGUUAUCCGGAUUCACUGGGCGUAAAGCGCGUGCAGGUGGCGCGGUAAGUUGGGCGUGAAAUCUCCCGGCUCAACUGGGAGAGGUCGUUCAAUACUACCGUGCUUGAGAGCAGAAGAGGAAGAUGGAAUUCCCGGUGUAGUGGUGAAAUGCGUAGAUAUCGGGAGGAACACCAGUGGCGAAGGCGAUCUUCUGGUCUGUUUCUGACACUCAGACGCGACAGCUAGGGUAGUAAACGGGAUUAGAGACCCCGGUAAUCCUAGCCGUAAACGAUGUGAACUUGGCGUUGGUGGGUUAAACUCCAUCAGUGCCGUAGCAAACGCGAUAAGUUCACCGCCUGGGGACUACGGCCGCAAGGUUA